UCUCGAAGGUCCUUGCCGCUGCGCCACUAAAGUAUUUUUGGUUAUACUCCAGUCUAAUUUUAGAUAAAGCUAUCAAAGGAUCUGAACCCAAGGAAUACUCAAAUGUUCCGUCGUGUGCUCCCCAGCCAAAACCACCGUCCAAUCCCUCGAUUUGCUACGAGCUUCCCGCAGCCAGUGUCCGAGAAUAUGCAGCCCGGCGAGUCCCCCGACGCUGCCGUGGCGCGCGCCGUCUGGGAGGACCUCGGCGCCCACGCCCGUGUCUGGAUCCUCGGCGCCGCCGGCGCCGGUGUCCGAGAAUAAGCGGCCCGGCGAGUCCCCCGACGCUGCCGUGGCGCGCGCCGUCUGGGAGGACCUCGGCGCCCGCGCCCGUGUCUGGAUCCUCGGCGCCGCCGGCGCCCGUGUUGUGGAGGGGGAGUUCGUGUUGCGGACACCCUAGCCGGUGACCUCUGGCCCUCGGCACUGCCCUCCGGGCGCCGCUGGCUGGUGUCGAAUUCUAUGGAGAGGCGCCAAACGGUGUGGCUGUGCUUGAUGCUAGGAUUGUGGACCGGGAUAGGGACAAUAGAGAGAUGACGCUACAGACAAGGCUAGAUGAUGGACCUGGUGACCUAAAGUUUACUGAGACCGUGUAGCAACUGAAUGCAAAGAAUGCAUUGUAGCUGUGAAAUAUGUAAAUAGAGUUCCCACUGUUGUAAAUUAUGUAGAUUGUAACUGAUCAAUGGGAUUGAGUUCCCUGGUCAAAUGUGAAUAUAUAUAUACGAGUUUGUUCAUGAAUC